AUGUCAGUUUCGUUAUUACAACCUUAUUUUUUUAUGUCAAAGACAAAAAGCUACGCGCAAAUUCUCAUUGGAUCUCGGUUGUUCUUAACAGCGAUGGCUAUUCAUUUAAGUCUUCGGGUAGCACCACCAGAUCUUCAACAAGGUGGAAAUUCUCGUAUUUCGUAUGUACAUGUUCCUGCGGCUCGGAUGAGUAUAGUUAUUUAUAUCGCGACAGCUAUAAACAGUUCCUUGUUCCCAUUAACAAAACAUCCCCUUUUUCUUCGCUCUUCCGGAACCGGUACAGAAAUUGGUGCUUUUUCUACUUUGUUUACGUUAGUGACUGGGGGGUUUCGGGGAAGGCCUAUGUGGGGUACCUUUCGGGUGUGGGAUGCUCGUUUAACUUCUGUAUUCAUCUUGUUCCUUAUUUACCCGGGUGCACUGCGUUUUCAAAAGCUUCCUGUCGAACCGGCUCCUAUUUCAAUCCGUGUUGGACCGAUCGAUAUACCAAUAAUAAAGUCUCCAGUCAACUGGUGGAAUACAUCGCAUCAACCUGGGAGCAUUAGCCGAUCUGGUACAUCAAUACAUGUUCCUAUGCCCAUUCCAAUCUUGUCUAACUUUGCUAACUUCCCCUUCUCUACCCGUAUCUUGUUCGUUCUGGAAACACGUCUUCCUAUUCCAUCUUUUCCCGAAUCUCCCUUAACGGAAGAAAUAGAAGCUCGAGAAGGAAUACCACUAAAAACCUAG
rnacentral:rRNA from 1 species